UCUGCCCUCCCUUCCCCACAGGUGGGCGGGGUUUGCAGCACCGAGCGAGGCUCACCUGGGUGGGUGCCACCCACCUGCUUGAGCUGGCCUUUGACCCGCCCUUGGCCAGGGAGGACAAUGGACGGCCGGCCGGGGGUGGGCCUAAGGCCAAAAGAAAAGAGGCUGACCCUUUGGCUCAAGCCGCUUUUGCUGUUCUUCCUUCCAGGAUCAAUCCCUCUCGCAUUAAUUAUGCAGUGAGUAAAAUUAACAGAGCCAUGCGCAACACCAUGCGGCAAAUUGGUGGGUUCUCUAUCCCACAUCCCACCAUCACAGCAGAUAGAGUUGACCUAUUCCGGGGGGAAUAAGGCUAAAAGAAAGGAGGCCGACUCCUGGGCUCAAGCCUCUUUUGCCGUUCUCCCUUCCAGGAUCAGGAUCAAGAUCAGGAGCGUGUCCAGGCGGCUGGACUGAGAACAUGUACAAGUGAUGAAGACCAGGAGGCAUUAUUCUGGAAAUUCUUGUCAAGAUUCUGUGGAACUGUAGUAAGCUCCCAUUUGGAUUUUAUGAACAUACAAAGACAUAUGUGGAACAGAAACUAGCAAAUAUUUGGACUCUAUGAAUGAACUGAUCUAUUGGGACUUCAGCUUACUUUGUUGUACUUUACGUGUUGAUUAUGUGCAAGAGAAAUAUUUGAUACUGUGAUAAAUACAGAAGAGAAUUGUUUAUGUGAAUGCACAGACGGUUACAUUUUGUGUGUUUGUUGAAUGUACUUUACGUAAUGCUAGGUUUGAUGUUGUUUUGCAAGUCAUAAAACAUAAUGCAUAAUUUUAAAUUAUUUAAUCUUUAACUUGCUAGGCUUUAUAACCUUACUUGUCAGCAUUUAAAGUUUCUGAUCAAAUUUUUUUUAAUCAUUUCACAAUAGGCAAUUUUCAUAAUUUUAAAUACCCCCAAGCUAAAAGUCUGCACUUUCAAAAAAACACACACCCCUAUAACCAGUAUUAUGUUAAUUUUUAAGAUGAACCACUUUGUUUCAUUAUUUUUUUCUAUUUCAGCUAUGGGUUGUAGGAAAGUUGUACCCAGUAGCAAUUUCCCCCCCAUGAUGUUCAAAAAAUGUAACAUUUUCAUUAUGAGGAAUAAUUUUUUAAAAAUCAUUCUUUGUUGAGAAAGAGCAUGUCUUUGCAAUAAUUUUCAACAUCAAAAACUUUUGGUUCCAUCAUGCCCACAAACUGAAAAUGCAGGUUUUCUAAACCUAGUUUUUCCACCCAAAAACCUAGGCUACAAGUACAUUUAUAAUUUUUUUUUAGACAUUUAUAAAAUCUUUUGAGUGUUGGUGUAUUUUUUCCUGAAAUCCUCAUUUUAUUGCGCUCUGUAAAAUUUCAGAGAUCUGAUCAUUGGCUAUUGAGAAAAAAAUUAAAAUGUACACAAGGGUAUCUUGUGCCGAAGGUCUCAAGAGGGACAGACAACAUGGAUUGAACGUAACUUUGAAGUGCUAUAAAAUUAAAACAAUUUGAGAUGGGGGGCGGGAUUUAAGGGGGUUUCUUUCAACCAUAAGGGAAGGGUUUACACCAAAUUUCACCAACAUCCAAGACUGAGGGUGACAUGACCUCGUUGAAAUGACGUGGAAUGACUCCAUGAGCGGUCGGUGUCCAUAUAGGAGAGCGUCGAUCCCGCAUGAGAAAUCAAGUCAUGGAGCUACCGUCACACAGAUACAGACCUACUUUACACGUUCCUAUGGGUUAGUCCGAGAAAAUUUGGGAUGAGGAGAGAUCAUGUCAAAUUUUUGCACCAACAAGAAACUACUAGACAUGUUUACCUAGUUAAAUCCGUGCACCCGGGGGGGUUUGAACAAGGAAUUAUAUUUCAGUUGUUUUAUUUAAUUGUUCUGACAAGAUGGCUGAUGUUUGUGUUCUCUAUGCUAGAUUUUUGGCACUGCAUCUUUAAAUUUCCUUGAAUUGUAUGUGAUCCAGUGCACCUGUGGGUUGCUUUCGCAAUGCUACUAGGGUUUGGCUAAGAGCACCAGCUUACCACACUUCUAAGUGAUUGAUGCUCCAUGGCUAUUUGAUAUACCUAUGGGGACAAUUUAUUCGGUAUGUAUUAUCGGUUGUGUAUAUGCAGGUCUGUCAUUUCAAUGAUGUGGAAUGACCCCCUGGUCACAUCCAUGUAAUUGCAACCAAUGUGAUUUACAAAAAAAAAUUAAAAUACGCUAAGGGG